rnacentral:rRNA from 1 species
AGUGAACGCUGGCGGUAGGCCUAACACAUGCAAGUCGAACGGCAGCACAGGAGAGCUUGCUCUCUGGGUGGCGAGUGGCGGACGGGUGAGGAAUACAUCGGAAUCUACUUUUUCGUGGGGGAUAACGUAGGGAAACUUACGCUAAUACCGCAUACGACCUACGGGUGAAAGCAGGGGAUCUUCGGACCUUGCGCGAUUGAAUGAGCCGAUGUCGGAUUAGCUAGUUGGCGGGGUAAAGGCCCACCAAGGCGACGAUCCGUAGCUGGUCUGGGAGGAUGAUCAGCCACACUGGAACUGAGACACGGUCCAGACUCCUACGGGAGUCAGCAGUGGGGAAUAUUGGACAAUGGGCGCAAGCCUGAUCCAGCCAUACCGCGUGGGUGAAGAAGGCCUUCGGGUUGUAAAGCCCUUUUGUUGGGAAAGAAAUCCAGCUGGUUAAUAUCCGGUUGGGAUGACGGUACCCAAAGAAUAAGCACCGGCUAACUUCGUGCCAGCCGCCGCAGUAA